rnacentral:rRNA from 1 species
GCGUGCUAUACAUGCAAGUCGAGCGGACCGACGGGAGCUUGCUCCCUUAGGUCAGCGGCGGACGGGUGAGUAACACGUGGGUAACCUGCCUGUAAGACUGGGAUAACUCCGGGAAACCGGGGCUAAUACCGGAUGCUUGAUUGAACCGCAUGGUUCAAUCAUAAAAGGUGGCUUUUAGCUACCACUUGCAGAUGGACCCGCGGCGCAUUAGCUAGUUGGUGAGGUAACGGCUCACCAAGGCGACGAUGCGUAGCCGACCUGAGAGGGUGAUCGGCCACACUGGGACUGAGACACGGCCCAGACUCCUACGGGAGGCAGCAGUAGGGAAUCUUCCGCAAUGGACGAAAGUCUGACGGAGCAACGCCGCGUGAGUGAUGAAGGUUUUCGGAUCGUAAAACUCUGUUGUUAGGGAAGAACAAGUACCGUUCGAAUAGGGCGGCACCUUGACGGUACCUAACCAGAAAGCCACGGCUAACUACGUGCCAGCAGCCGCGGUAAUACGUAGGUGGCAAGCGUUGUCCGGAAUUAUUGGGCGUAAAGCGCGCGCAGGCGGUUUCUUAAGUCUGAUGUGAAAGCCCCCGGCUCAACCGGGGAGGGUCAUUGGAAACUGGGGAACUUGAGUGCAGAAGAGGAGAGUGGAAUUCCACGUGUAGCGGUGAAAUGCGUAGAGAUGUGGAGGAACACCAGUGGCGAAGGCGACUCUCUGGUCUGUAACUGACGCUGAGGCGCGAAAGCGUGGGGAGCGAACAGGAUUAGAUACCCUGGUAGUCCACGCCGUAAACGAUGAGUGCUAAGUGUUAGAGGGUUUCCGCCCUUUAGUGCUGCAGCAAACGCAUUAAGCACUCCGCCUGGGGAGUACGGUCGCAAGACUGAAACUCAAAGGAAUUGACGGGGGCCC